UCUCUAUUUAAAGCUUUACCUUGGUAUCGCGCCUUAACUUGCUAUUUUCUACAUGCCUAGUACUACAUGAGAUGUCUACCCAACUCAACCAACCAGCUGUUUCCUCGCUUCAAAAGUCCAGAACGAAUCGGGUUUUAGACUUCCUAUUUAAGCGAGGAGAUACCGCCAGUGAGGUACGAAGUGCACUUUUAGUGGUGAUGGCCCUGAUUGGUGCCGCUACCUUCCAAGUUGGACUACACCCUCCCGGUGGGGUUUGGCAAGACACCACGAAAGACCAUGAGGUAAAUCAUGAAGCGGGCACCGCAAUUUUGGGUUCUUACCC